rnacentral:rRNA from 1 species
AGUGAACGCUGGCGGCAUGCCUUACACAUGCAAGUCGAACGGAUUAGAGGGGCUUGCUCCUCUAGUUAGUGGCGAACGGGUGAGUAAUGCAUCGGAACGUACCCAGUCGUGGGGGAUAACGUAGCGAAAGUUACGCUAAUACCGCAUACGAUCUGAGGAUGAAAGCAGGGGAUCGCAAGACCUUGCGCGAUUGGAGCGGCCGAUGUCGGAUUAGCUAGUUGGUAGGGUAAAAGCCUACCAAGGCGACGAUCCGUAGCUGGUCUGAGAGGACGACCAGCCACACUGGGACUGAGACACGGCCCAGACUCCUACGGGAGGCAGCAGUGGGGAAUUUUGGACAAUGGGGGAAACCCUGACCAGCCAUGCCGCGUGAGUGAAGAAGGCCUUCGGGUUGUAAAGCUCUUUCGGACAGAAAGAAAUCUUUCGGGCUAAUACCCCGGAAGGAUGACGGUACUGUAAGAAGAAGCACCGGCUAACUACGUGCCAGCCGCCGCCGUAA